rnacentral:sRNA from 1 species
GAUUCCCACGCCCCCUUCCGGCGCCUAGAGCGCCGCUGCUGCCAUGUUGAGGGGGGGACCGCGACCAGCUGGGCCCCUGGCUCAGGGAGGGGCCACGUCAGUGCUGCCAGAGACGUCACAAUGCCGGCCCAGCCCUUCGGCAGAGAAGACGCGAUGGCGGCGAUGGCAUCUCUCGGCGCCCUGGCGCUGCUCCUGCUGUCCAGCCUCUCCCGCUGCUCAGGGAUCUGCCUCCUGUGGUCCAGACCCAGAGCCUUCUCUGACGUCCUCUGCUGAAGCCAUCGUUCUGCCAGGGCACCACAUUUGGACAGCGGGUGGCUGAGAACGUUCCCACUUUGGGGAGCCUUUGUUUCACACCCUCUGAUGUAGGCGGCAGCCUUCCUUUCCUUUGGGCCUCUGGUUAUGGAGAAGGCUAAGGCAAGGUCCUUUCUCUCACAGCUAACAAGUUGUGCUUCUGGAACCAGAGUCUCUCCCGUUUGCUUCCUCAGGAAACGCUGGGGCCAGUCUUCACCUUCUGUCAACUGGCCGGGGGCAGAGACCCUUUCUCUCAUCUUGAAAGCCGCAGUGCAUUGCCUGCCUGCAGCCCCCACCCCCGAUGUCUCUGCUGAGGAUGCCUUCAGUAACUCGUCCAGGCCGUUUGUGGCUCUGAAUUGAGGCUGGCCUGGCCCCCGGGCCUCCGUGUCAUAGGUCCAAGUGUUGGCAUGUAUUGUCCAGUGAAUCCAGCCCCCACCUGCCCCCAGUUCGCUCUUCCUGCACACCUCCAGAAAGCCGGCCUUGCCCCUCCCCAGCCUUCCUUCACAGCCAUCCCGCCUACGUUGCCACUGCAUUUGUGACCGAGCACUUGGAUCUGUCUCGCAUAUCCCACCUGGAAGGGGCAGGAGGAUCGCGUGGGUCCCCAGCUGAUCCGUGCUAUGAGGCAGGGCCUGGCCAUCCUGCCCUCAGACCGGGAUACUCGAGCUGGCCUUACCCAGGCAUCUCUCCCUCUUCCCCGCAGCCGAGGCCUGCCUGGAGCCCCAGAUCACCCCUUCCUACUACACCACUUCUGACGCUGUCAUUUCCACUGAGACCGUCUUCAUUGUGGAGAUCUCCCUGACAUGCAAGAACAGGGUCCAGGUGAGACAGUGGGGUUUCAGACAGGAGGGCGGGUGGGGGGUGCUCCUCACUGCUAGUUGAUGGGGGACCUGUAUCGAUAGAGGGAGAAUCAAGAUUCCAACUCUUGGGGUGCCGGAGAGAUCGGGGCACGGUGAUGCCAGAUCCUAGCCAGUGUUGACAGGUCACCUUCCUCACCUGCUUUGUGUGCUGUGCCUACACGAGGUAACACUGGGCUCACCACCCGCUGUUUCCUGAAUGAGUAUCUGGACCGGGAGAAAGGGCCAGGAGUCAGCCCACCCCGGUUGCCAUUGGCCAGUUUGUCUGUGUGGGUGUUUUGUUUUCGUUUUUGUUUUUUGUUUGUUUUUUUGAGAUAGGGUCUCACUCUGUUGCCUCAGCUGGAGUGCAUUGGCACGAUCUUGGCUCACUGCAGCCUCCACCUCCCGGGUUCAAGCGAUUCUCCUCUCAGUCUUCUAAGUAGCUGGGAUGACAAGUGCUCGCCACCAUGCCCAGCUAAGUUCCCAUAAGUCCAAAGAAGGAAAUGGGGCCUUUUUUGGGUAUGGCCCUCUUAGGGUAAAGCACCCGUUGGGCAGCCCACUGGGCACCCCUGACCCCAGCACCUCCCUUGUAGACUCAGAAAAUCACUCGGCCCUUUUGAUCAUCCCGCCCCUGCUCACAGUCAACAGGGUUCCUAUGCGUCCAGUUAGGCCCGGCCAUGGGGAUCUGGCCUUGUGCCCCCGUAGGGAAGACCAAUGCAGAGGGCCAGUCACGGGAUUGGUGAGUGUUACCUGGUACCUCCUGCCAGGGAGACUGCAGCCCCCAACUGGGCCUAGCCUGCCCACCUGCAGGCCGUGUGAGCGGCGCACAGGGCUCCUCUGCCCACACCCAGAGGGGGCAGAAGGUGACCCUGCCUUUGUUCCCUCACCCAGAACAUGGCUCUCUAUGCUGACGUCGGUGGAAAACAAUUCCCUGUCACUCGAGGCCAGGAUGUGGGGCGUUAUCAGGUGUCCUGGAGCCUGGACCACAAGAGCGCCCAUGCAGGCACCUAUGAGGUUAGAUUCUUCGACGAGGAGUCCUACAGCCUCCUCAGGAAGGCUCAGAGGAAUAACGAGGACAUUUCCAUCAUCCCGCCUCUGUUUACAGUCAGCGUGGACCAUCGGGGCACUUGGAACGGGCCCUGGGUGUCCACUGAGGUGCUGGCUGCGGCGAUCGGCCUUGUGAUCUACUACUUGGCCUUCAGUGCGAAGAGCCACAUCCAGGCCUGACGGCGGCACCCCAGCCCUGCCCUUGCUUCCUUCAAUAAACAUCACAGGACCUGGGACUGC